UUAUGUGCGACGGUGACUGCAAGAAACAAGGAAUGUGGAGCUAAUGCAUGCUGCUAAGGAUGGAAAGGUCUUGUGUUUAUUGGUUGUGCCUGAGACACCAGUCACAGUUGUACCUUAUUUCCAUUUUAGGGAGUCUAUAUACAUUUGAGGUGAGCGGCAGAUUUAAUUUUGAAGAUGGGUGACAUUCAGAUGUUGUGAUGAAGAUUGUUGAAAGGGAUUAUCAACAUAGAACCAAUCCAUAUGAAUGGGCAAGUCAGGACUUGUACAACACCUGAGUACCUAGAUGACUGUUGAACUAAUUGGUGAACAAGACAAGAUGUCAGAGACGGGAA